rnacentral:rRNA from 1 species
GGGAAAGUUGAAAAGAACUUUGAAGAGAGAGUUCAAUAGUACGUGAAACCUCUCGGGGGUAAGCGGGCAGAACUUGCAAGUAUUGUCAAGAGAUUCAGACUUGGUAUUGGAGGGGGAGUAUGCGGGUUAAAUGGNUCAUUCGUGGACUGUUGAUCUGUGUGUUUCAUUCUUUCGAUAAUGCGUCGCACUUCUCUUGUACAUCCGGGUUGCAUGCAACUGAGAUGAUGGUUUAGGAGCUGGGGUACUGCGGAUCCUUGUGGUUUGAGUCCUAGUUUCCGACUAUUCUUGCGGUUGUUGAAAGCGAACAAGAGCUUGUCUCGGUCAACUUCUUCCACGAGUCGUGUGCAUGGAUUGUAUGGACGGGUAACCGUAAUAUGACCUGUGUACUGGUUGUCUGUGUGAGUUGUUUGGCAUUGUUCAGUAUUG